rnacentral:rRNA from 1 species
UGCAAGUCGAACGGCAGCGGGGGCUUCGGCCUGCCGGCGAGUGGCGAACGGGUGAGUAAUGCAUCGGAACGUACCCAGUCGUGGGGGAUAACUACGCGAAAGCGUAGCUAAUACCGCAUACGCCCUGAGGGGGAAAGCGGGGGACCUUCGGGCCUCGCGCGAUUGGAGCGGCUGAUGUCGGAUUAGCUAGUUGGUGGGGUAAAGGCCUACCAAGGCGACGAUCCGUAGCUGGUCUGAGAGGAUGAUCAGCCACACUGGGACUGAGACACGGCCCAGACUCCUACGGGAGGCAGCAGUGGGGAAUUUUGGACAAUGGGCGCAAGCCUGAUCCAGCCAUGCCGCGUGAGUGAAGAAGGCCUUCGGGUUGUAAAGCUCUUUCAGACGGAAAGAAAUCGGGCGCGUGAAUAGCGUGCCUGGAUGACGGUACUGUCAGAAGAAGCACCGGCUAACUACGUGCCAGCAGCCGCGGUAAUACGUAGGGUGCGAGCGUU